AUAGCUGUUUUAUUUUUAUUUACAUCUCAGAUCACUUCCUAUCUCUUAAGUUUGAUGAUGAAAAAUGAACCUUCAAUUAGCUAAGCAUUUUUCUUUAUUUGUUUUAAUUUUAAAUAUAAACGAUCAUCUUAGUUGGCUUCAAUUUCUGUAACAAAAUUCCAUACACUGAGUGACUUAAACAGCAAACAUUUAUUUCUUACAGUUUUGACAGCUAUGAUGUCCAAGAUCAAGACACUGGCAGAUUCAGUUUCUGAUGAGAGCCCUCCUCCUAGCUUGUGGAUGGCUGCCUUCUCAUUGUGUCCUCACAUGGCAGAGAGAACUGAGAACUCUGAUUUCUUGUAAAAGGACACCAUUCCAUCCUGGGGUUCCACUCUCAUGACUUCAUCUAAAUUCAAUCACUUGCCAAAUGCCUUACCUCCUACUAUCACCACUUUGAGAGUUACAGCUUGGACAUAUGAAUUUUGGGAGGACACAAACAUUCAGUCCAUAACAAUAACUUAGAUUUAUUUAUAGGGAAGGAGCUAUUCGUGGAGGAAUAACUAAAACGUAUAAAGAAAUAAUGCAGCAGCAGAGAGCAACCGAUCCACCACGAUUGUUUCUUGAGGUGCAAAAGGAAGUCAUAAGAUCAACAUUAGGCCAUCAACAGAAUUUGAAGAAAAUGAAGAACACAAAAAAUCCAACAAUAAUAGUCUGUUACUACAGAACGAACAAGAAAAUACAUCAGAAUCAGCUGGAGUCUAAACAAGAGAUCCCAGAGAGCUCUGAUGAUCCAAGCAGUGGCCUGUCAGUGGCAGGGGCCAGAGAUCUGGGCCUAUCUACUGUAUCUCAUGAGAAUGCAAUGGAGAAAGCCAACUUCAGAGAGACCACAUCUGAAAAAUAGUGGUGAUGACAAUAAAAUCAAGUCAUCAGCAACA
rnacentral:lncRNA from 1 species